rnacentral:rRNA from 1 species
UAAGACGAACCGUGCGAACGUUGUUCGGAAUCAUUGGGCUUAAAGGGCGCGUAGGCGGGGUGGCAAGUCUGUGGUGAAAUCCUCCGGCUCAACCGGAGAACUGCCGUGGAUACUGCCAUUCUUGAGGGGUGUAGGGGCAUGCGGAACUUCCGGUGGAGCGGUGAAAUGCGUAGAUAUCGGAAGGAACACCGGUGGCGAAAGCGGCGUGCUGGACACCUUCUGACGCUGAGGCGCGAAAGCCAGGGGAGCAAACGGG